AUAUCACCCAUGUUGUCUGAUGCAUUUGACCAGGUAAUCCAGCCAACAGAGGCCUCUUGAGGAAGCGACAGUGUGACAUUUGACAUUUCAAGUUCUACCAGUGGACUUUCAGCGGGAGUGACAGAGCAAGGCUAAGUGCAUAGUUUAUUCCAAACUUCAGUUUUAUUGUUAACUUGCCAAUACUGUGAAGAACUUACCGCCUUGGUACACAGAAUGCAAGUAACCCCCAUUAAUGUAGAUGCCUGUGAACACCAAUGGAGAACAUCUGAUCCAUUGGAGUUGAAGUUAGAACUACGUGCUCUUAAUGACUGCACCAUCUCUCUGGUCCUAUCUUAUUCUUCUCUGACAGACACCAGAUGGACAUUCAUCAAUGCAUAAAUGCAAAGUGCACCUUAUAAAUCCAAUGACCUUAUCCUCUUCCUCCUCAGCAAGAG
rnacentral:lncRNA from 1 species